UACGUAGGGGGCAAGCGUUGUCCGGAAUCAUUGGGCGUAAAGAGCGUGUAGGCGGCCCGGUAAGUCCGUUGUGAAAGUCGAGGGCUCAACCCUCGAAUGCCGGCGGAUACUGUCGGGCUAGAGUCCGGAAGAGGCGAGUGGAAUUCCUGGUGUAGCGGUGAAAUGCGCAGAUAUCAGGAGGAACACCUAUGGCGAAGGCAGCUCGCUGGGACGGUACUGACGCUGAGACGCGAAAGCGUGGGGAGCAAACAGG
rnacentral:rRNA from 1 species